GUGGGGAAUCUUGCGCAAUGGGCGAAAGCCUGACGCAGCCAUGCCGCGUGGAUGAUGAAGGUCUUAGGAUUGUAAAAUCCUUUCACCGGUGAAGAUAAUGACUGUAGCCGGAGAAGAAGCCCCGGCUAACUUCGUGCCAGCAGCCGCGGUAAUACGAAGGGGGCUAGCGUUGCUCGGAUUUACUGGGCGUAAAGGGCGCGUAGGCGGACAUUUAAGUCAGGGGUGAAAUCCCGGGGCUCAACAUCGGAACUGCCUUUGAUACUGGGUGUCUUGAGUAUGAGAGAGGUGUGUGGAACUCCGAGUGUAGAGGUGAAAUUCGUAGAUAUUCGGAAGAACACCAGUGGCGAAGGCGACACACUGGCUCAUUACUGACGCUGAGGCGCGAAAGCGUGGGGAGCAAACAGGAUUAGAUACCCUGGUAGUCC
rnacentral:rRNA from 1 species